rnacentral:rRNA from 1 species
AUUGAACGCUGGCGGCAUGCUUUACACAUGCAAGUCGAACGGUAACAGGCCUUCGGGUGCUGACGAGUGGCGAACGGGUGAGUAAUGCAUCGGAACGUACCCAGAGGUGGGGGAUAACGCAGCGAAAGCUGUGCUAAUACCGCAUGUGAUCUGAGGAUGAAAGCGGGGGACCGAGCAGCAAUGUUUGGCCUCGCGCCUUUGAAGCGCCGGAUGUCGGAUUAGCAAGUUGGUGGGGUAAAGGCCUACCAAGGCGACGAUCCGUAGCUGGUCUGAGAGGACGACCAGCCACACUGGGACUGAGACACGGCCCAGACUCCUACGGGAGGCAGCAGUGGGGAAUUUUGGACAAUGGGCGCAAGCCUGAUCCAGCAAUGCCGCGUGCGGGAAGAAGGCCUUCGGGUUGUAAACCGCUUUUGGCAGGAACGAAACGGUGUCCGCUAAUACCGGGCGCUAAUGACGGUACCUGCAGAAUAAGCACCGGCUAACUACGUG